rnacentral:lncRNA from 1 species
AUCGCGUAGCGCGCACCCAGCCCGCCCCGCCGCGCCCGCCGCCCUCGCCGCCGUCUCCUCCUCAGGCGCCUGUCGCGGCCGGUUCCACCUAGACCAGCUUCUCGUGGACCAGCAUUGCCAACUAACAGAAGGCUGUGAGUCGCAUCUUGGCCCAUCAAUCCUUCUCCUUAUUCCCAUGAUGAGUUCACCAGUGCGGUCCGGUCUGUGUCACUGUGCUGAUGUCAUCCUACAAUCACAAAGGAACAUCAUCUUGAACUUUCUUUGAAAAGUUCUCCUUUGAGGUAUUUUAAUUAGCAGUUAACCAGCCAUUUCCCAUUUCUGGAAAGUUUAGUAAAUUUUCAGAGCAUUCAGAAUCCAGAUGUCACUUCUUUCAGGAAAUGAUCCUUUUAUUUCAGAAUUCUGUGAUCUGUGAAAUGGGUAUUCAGUUACUUAAAAUAAUUCAAGAUAUUAGUUUUAUGUCCAGAAUGUUUGCCUAAAGAGUUCAAAG